AGAGUUUGAUCCUGGCUCAGGACGAACGCUGGCGGCGUGCCUAAUACAUGCAAGUCGAGCGGAUCUUCAUUAGCUUGCUUUUGAAGAUCAGCGGCGGACGGGUGAGUAACACGUGGGCAACCUGCCUGUAAGACUGGGAUAACUUCGGGAAACCGGAGCUAAUACCGGAUAAUCCUUUCCCUCACAUGAGGGAAAGCUGAAAGACGGUUUCGGCUGUCACUGCAGGAUGGGCCCGCGGCGCAUUAGCUAGUUGGUGGGGUAAUGGCCUACCAAGGCGACGAUGCGUAGCCGACCUGAGAGGGUGAUCGGCCACACUGGGACUGAGACACGGCCCAGACUCCUACGGGAGGCAGCAGUAGGGAAUCUUCCACAAUGGACGAAAGUCUGAUGGAGCAAUGCCGCGUGAGCGAAGAAGGUUUUCGGAUCGUAAAGCUCUGUUGUGAGGGAAGAACAAGUACAGGAGUAACUGUCUGUACCUUGACGGUACCUCAUUAGAAAGCCACGGCUAACUACGUGCCAGCAGCCGCGGUAAUACGUAGGUGGCAAGCGUUGUCCGGAAUUAUUGGGCGUAAAGCGCGCGCAGGCGGUCCUUUAAGUCUGAUGUGAAAGCCCACGGCUCAACCGUGGAGGGUCAUUGGAAACUGGAGGACUUGAGUGCAGAAGAGGAGAGUGGAAUUCCACGUGUAGCGGUGAAAUGCGUAGAGAUGUGGAGGAACACCAGUGGCGAAGGCGACUCUCUGGUCUGUAACUGACGCUGAGGCGCGAAAGCGUGGGUAGCGAACAGGAUUAGAUACCCUGGUAGUCCACGCCGUAAACGAUGAGUGCUAAGUGUUAGAGGGUUUCCGCCCUUUAGUGCUGCAGUUAACGCAUUAAGCACUCCGCCUGGGGAGUACGGCCGCAAGGCUGAAACUCAAAGGAAUUGACGGGGGCCCGCACAAGCGGUGGAGCAUGUGGUUUAAUUCGAAGCAACGCGAAGAACCUUACCAGGUCUUGACAUCCUCUGACAACCCUAGAGAUAGGGCGUUCCCCUUCGGGGGA
rnacentral:rRNA from 1 species